GCACUGCUGAGGAGUCCCAUGUUAGGACGAAACGGCCUUCCAGUGC
rnacentral:hammerhead_ribozyme from 1 species